GGAUGAACGCUAGCGGCAGGCCUAACACAUGCAAGUCGAGGGGCAGCAUGGCGUAGCGAUACGCUGAUGGCGACCGGCGCACGGGUGCGUAACGCGUAUGCAACCUGUCCGGCGCAGGGGGGUAGCCCGUCGAAAGGCGGGGUAAUCCCGCAUGAACCGGUAUUCCCGCAUGGGGGUGCCGGCAAAGUGGAGACGCGGGGCCGGAGGGGCAUGCGUGCCAUUAGCUGGCUGGUGGGGUAACGGCCCACCAGGGCGAUGAUGGCUAGGGGGUCUGAGAGGAUGGUCCCCCACACUGGUACUGAGACACGGACCAGACUCCUACGGGAGGCAGCAGUGAGGAAUAUUGGUCAAUGGGCGGAAGCCUGAACCAGCCAUGCCGCGUGCAGGAAGACGGCCCUAUGGGUUGUAAACUGCUUUUCCAGGGAGAGAAACUUGCGCACGUGUUGCGCAAUUGACGGUACCCUGGGAAUAAGCAUCGGCUAACUCCGUGCCAGCAGCCGCGGUAAUACGGAGGAUGCGAGCGUUAUCCGGAUUCAUUGGGUUUAAAGGGUGCGUAGGCGGACUAUUAAGUCAGUGGUGAAAUCCUGCAGCUUAACUGCAGAACUGCCAUUGAUACUGAUAGCCUUGAGUUUGGUUAAGGUAGGCGGAAUGUGUAAUGUAGCGGUGAAAUGCUUAGAUAUUACACAGAACACCAAUUGCGUAGGCAGCUUACUGAGCCGACACUGACGCUGAGGCACGAAAGCGUGGGGAUCGAACAGGAUUAGAUACCCUGGUAGUCCACGCCGUAAACGAUGAUUACUCGCUGUUGGCGAUACACUGUCAGCGGCUAAGCAAAAGCAAUAAGUAAUCCACCUGGGGAGUACGGCCGCAAGGUUGAAACUCAAAGGAAUUGACGGGGGCCCGCACAAGCGGAGGAACAUGUGGUUUAAUUCGAUGAUACGCGAGGAACCUUACCUGGGCUUAAAUGUAGAGUGCAUUUUCUAGAGAUAGGAAUUCCCUUCGGGGCUUUCUGCAAGGUGCUGCAUGGUUGUCGUCAGCUCGUGCCGUGAGGUGUCGGGUUAAGUCCCAUAACGAGCGCAACCCUUAUCGUUAGUUGCCAUCUGGUAAAGCAGGGGACUCUAGCGAAACUGCCACCGUAAGGUGAGAGGAAGGUGGGGAUGACGUCAAAUCAGCACGGCCCUUAUGUCCAGGGCUACACACGUGUUACAAUGGUCGGUACAGAGGGCAGCUACCUGGUGACAGGAUGCUAAUCUCGAAAACCGGUCUCAGUUCGGAUCGAAGUCUGCAACUCGACUUCGUGAAGCUGGAUUCGCUAGUAAUCGCGCAUCAGCCAUGGCGCGGUGAAUACGUUCCCGGGCCU
rnacentral:rRNA from 1 species